rnacentral:rRNA from 1 species
AUGGUGGAGCUCCACAAGGUGGCCGAACAGGCCAUAAAGGGCCUCAUAGUUCGGCUUUGGCCUGGAGAGGCUCUUCCCGGGAGCUACUUCGGGCUGGUGAGGCGGCUGCUAGAUGCCUGUCCACGGCUUGAAGUAAUCAAGCACUCCAUCUGCAUCGAAGGUGCCCGUAGGGCGCUUGCCCGUGCUAAAGUGCACUGGGGCAAGAUGGAUGCGGAGAAGCUGGUGAAGGACGGGCCGCCGCCGGGCAAGGAGCAUUGUGUCCCAGAAGCGUAUUAUGAGGGCGUCCUGAAGGGUGCCCGCCUUAUAGCGGAUGAAUGCUCCAAAGAUGUAACUUUUGAGUAA